AAGCCAUGGUGUGGACAGUCUCUCUGAUAACCUUUGAAUCGUUCCCACGAAGCCUUGAAUGCUUCGAUUGGACCCUGUUGAAAAGAAGAGAUCUUUGCUCUCAAAUC
rfam:Arabis alpina cultivar Pajares chromosome 6, whole genome shotgun sequence.